GGGAGCUUAGCUCAGCUGGUUCAGAGCAUCUGCCUUACAAGCAGAGGGUCGACGGUUCGAAUCCGCCAGCUCCCACGA
rnacentral:tRNA from 1 species